rnacentral:lncRNA from 1 species
UAGUUAAGAAUGAGGAACACAAAGUUGAUAUUGAAACCCAGAAGGAGAGAAAUUCCUAGCCAAACCCUACACUAAAUGUAGAUAUAAAUCUGCAAUAUAAUACAGAUAAUAAAUGUAGAUACAUGGGUCUCCAUGACAAUAGAACUUAGAGCACUGCAUUCAAAGAUCUUACAAGCAUGGGGAGAGAAAGAAAGGUCAUUUACCUAUCUGAUGCUGAGAUUAUCCAGCUACUGGUUAAACCCAUUGGAAAUUGGAUUCUCUUUAAAAAGAAGUCUAUUUUGGUUGAGAAUACAUAGUAUGUGGAAUGAUCAAGUCAGGUAAUCUCUGGGGCUUUGGAUCAAGAAUUCUCUGCCCAUGAUACAUCAUAUUUAGCUUUUAUUUUUGGUGAAAGGCUAGUCUAAGUAAUUGUAUGGAAAAAUAAAUAAUCACAACCUUUGGAAGAAUAGAAAUGAUGUCUGACUUAGCUAUUCAGUGAACCUUAAGAAUUCCUUUUUGCUUGUUUUAAGUUAACAGGUGUUUCUAGAAAAACAAGUCACGUUUGUUUAAGGUCAGUAUUGGAAGCCACCAAAAAGGCUGGGCUUUUUGGCUCUGAGAUACAGUGUGAUUUUAGAUUUUUCUCUCUACUACAUCAACCAUGCAUUCCUUAAAGAGUGCUUAAAGUCCUGUGAAGGAUGUAAAAUGUCAGUACUGAACUAAGAUCACAAAGUUCCUGGAAUCAUUGCAAACAUGUCAUUAAGGAUCAAACUGAAGAUGUGAAAAUCGAAAACAAUACUUUAAACAUAUUCUCAGCUUUUCAGUUCAUCCUAAAAACUCAACUAUUGCUCCCAAAUCAGAGUUAUGGCACCUCCCUUCCUUUCUAGGUACUUCUCUUAAGAACUUCCAGACAUGACUUCAUUCACUAUCCAGUAACUAACAGUGCCGGAGAGGAGAGUGAGAGCUUUUCUUUCUUUAUUACAUAUUAAGGAAAAUGUGGCUUAGAAAAGAAAUUGUGUUAGAGUCACUAGGGUGGCAGGUGGAAGAGUCUGUGUGCCUCUUGUGUCUAUAGCAAAGUCCAUAGAGUGUUAAAGCUGGGAGGACACUUAGACAUCAUCCAGUGUAGUGAUUCUGAUAUUUAAGAUGUUAUAUAUGGGCAGCCCGGGUGGUGCAGCGGUUUGGCACCACCUUCAGCCUGGGGUGUGAUCCUGGAGACCUGGGAUUAGGUCCCACGUUGGGCUCCUUGCAUGGAGACUGCUUCUGUCUCUGCCUUUCUCUCUCUGUGUCUCUCAUGAAUAGAUAAAUAAAAUCUUAAAAAGAAAUGUUAUAUACAAGUAAAUUUAUUUUACAAGUAAAAUUUUGAAGCAAUUUUAAGGAUUAAUCAUAAAUUUUUCCCAAAAAGGACACUAGAAAAACACCUGUCAUUUUAUGAAAAGAAGAGAUAUUAUAACACCUUGAGACCAAAAAGGUUGAUAACCGCUAGUAUUAGGAGAAGAAACUUUGAGUUCUAAAUGAGAAAGUAACAGAAUUUGGGAUAAUGGAAUCAGAAGUAGGGUUGAAGAUGGUAGACAUCCAAGCUAUGAAUUCAUGUGGUAGAAGAAUAACUUCAAAAUAAAUGGUAGGCCGUCUCAACACAGAACGGUUGGCCACUUUGUAUCAACACGUGAACACAAACACACUAUAAGUUGCUGAUUUUUUUCAUUUUGCAUCACAGCUCAGCUGUCAUUACAAGAUUGGGCAUAUAAGAAUUUAGCCUGAAUCUUCAUUUUACUUAUGAGAAAAUUAAGACCUAGAAAAGGAAGUAGGGCUGCCAGAUAAAAUACAGGACACUUAAUUAAAUAUAAAUCUCAUGCAAUAUUCAGGACACACUUAAACUAACUCUUAUACUAACUUGUUACUUAUCUGAAAUUCAAAUUUAACAGGGCAUCCUGUAAAAUGACAACCCUAAAGGGAAGUGACUUUUAGUUACUUGAAUUGUUGCUUAAUAGUACAGUUAGGAGAAAUCAGUUCUGACCCCAGUGAUUAAAAGUAUAUCUAUAUAUUGUGCUACCUUUUAAUAUAUCAUAGUCUUGCCCUAAUUCAAUGCAAUCCAAUAACCAUACUAAUUCUACCAUCCUCAACCCCACCUUUAAUUCUAAUUCUGUUAUCCUGAAUUCUGCUACUUUUUUCUUUGGUGCUGGAAGUUUCUCUUCCUUUUAUAUUAGUAGUAAGCCAAACAUUUUGGUUUCAGGAUCCUUUACUUUUAAAAAUUAUUGAGGACCUCCAAAGGAUUCUUACAUAUGUGAGUUAUGCCUAUCAGUAUUUACUGUGCUAGGAAUUAAAACUGAGAAAAUUAUAUAUAUUUAUUAAUUCAUUUAAUAAUAAGUCCAUUAUAUGUUAAUAUAACUAACAUAUUCAUUUAAAAUAUAUGUUUUCGGGAUCCCUGGGUGGCGCAGCGGUUUGGCGCCUGCCUUUGGCCCAGGGCGUGAUCCUGGAGACCCGGGAUCGAAUUCCACGUCGGGCUCCCGGUGCAUGGAGCCUGCUUCUCCCUCUGCCUGUGUCUCUGCCUCUCUCUCUCUCUGUGACUAUCAUAAAUAAAUAAAUAAAAUCUUUAAAAAAAUAAAAUAAAAUAAAAUAAAAUAAAAUAUAUGUUUUCCAUGGGAAAUAAGUCAGACUGAGAAAGACAAAUACCAUAUAAUUUCACUCAUAUGUGAGAUCUAAAGAAUGAAAUAAAUGAACAAACAAACAUAAAGCAGAAUCAGAUCUAUAAAUACAGAGAACAAAUUGAUGGUCGCUGGACAGAAGGGAAAUGAGGAGAUGGGCAAAAUGCAUGAAGAAGAAUGGGAGACGCAGGCUUCCAGUCAUGGGAAUAGAAGAUACAGCACAGGAAAUACAGUCAAUGUUAUAAUAGUGUUGUGUGGUGACAGGUGGUAGCUACACUUGUGGUAAGCAUAGCAUUAUAUAUAGGGGUGUUGAAUCACUAUGCUGUACAUCUGAAACUAAUGUAACAUUGUGUGUCAAUUAUACUAAAAAAAAAAUACACACACACAUACACAAACCUACAUUUUCCAAAAUAAAAGAAAAGCAGGAGGAGUGGUAAUGCUUUAUAUUUUUUGCAAAUCUCUUUAAUUUCUGAUUUAAUAGAAGACAGUGGAUUCUGAUUAUCAGCUUCUGCAUUUGAUCUGUUGUGAAAUGUUUUGUCUGAAGUACAUAAAGAAAAAGCAGCCUCAUAACAGACAUGUAGGUGAAAAAGGGAGAAGUGUUCUAAGUAGCAUUUGGAGAUA